GUUCAGCAUGGCUGCCGCAGCCCUGAAACGCUCACAGCGCAGGCGCAAGGGUGCGACCGGAUGGGGGAGGGGCAAGGAAUGCGGGCGGCCGCGGGGAGGGCGCCAGUGCGCAGGCGCAUGAGCAGAGUCGCAGACCCCGGGACCGAGCUCUGAGGGCGCGCGGUGGGUGGGUGGGGCGGAAGCCGUGCGCGCAGACGCUAGUCUCGGUGCCCUUCCUCCACGGCACGGGCUGGCGUGCGGCCUGGUGGGCUCCCGGCUCAGGGCUUCGGUUGGGAGGCGCAGCUCGCGGCAGCCUGACCAGAGUCGUAGGGAGCGCCCCGCGGGAGCUGGGGCGCCUGCAGGGUGGGGCUGCUGCGCUGUGUUCGGCCCUGAGGGCGUCGUGUCCUCGUUCCUGCGCCGGGCGGGCCGAGGUAGUUCUGCGACCUCUCUUGUCCCCCCGGGACACCCUAAAUGUCUUCUUAGAGACCUCCGAGUUCCUGGAGGCCUCUGCCCUCUGCAGAGUCUCUAAUUAGGUCACUUCCGCACGGCGGUCCACUUUUUAGUGAAAGCGCUCCUACUCUGAAAACUUGGCUGUCUGCUCUCUCGAUCUUAAAUCAAUCUCGUAAAAAAGAGAUUGGUAACAUAAAAUAGGGUGAUCCGGAGGACACCAGGGCAAUCUUUUAAUUUGUCCCUAACCCAUUACCUCUUCCUUCAUCCCUCACUACCAACUAAUAUCUCUUCCACCUACAGGGCGCCCCUCCCCCACCUACUGUAACCUGGGCCGCCUUCCCGUUUGGUUAGGGGUUGCCUUUCUUGGUUUAAGAAAAUCCCUUUACUUUUGACCUGGUUAACGUGCCCCGAGGCUAUCCUCUUUUCUCCACCCUUUGGAAUGUUAAGCUUUAUUUCCUAACCAGAGAAAAAUAAGAACUCUUGGAGGUUUCUAAGUACAAAUGUAGGGUGCCCUCAGGGGACACGUGAGGUGGUAAAGUUAAAGGCCUCACAAAACAGCCUUUUCAGUACCUUGCUCGGUUAGGAGACUUCUUACCUCUAAGGACCUUUGCAUAGGCAGAUAAUGCAGGACCUGUAAAAAUUCUACUUACGUUUUUACUUCAUCUUCCUCUUGCUAGAGUCUUCUGCUCUUCCUCCCUCUACGCAUCCCCACCCUCCUUUAACUUGUUAGUCUGUCAGCUUCCACCAGAAUACCCUUCAGGCACCCAUCAGGCUCAAGGACCUCUUUAUUGGAAAGUGCUUUGCAGUUCUCACCUCAUUUGACCCCUCUGGAGCAUUUGACAUUUGAUCUUCCUUCCUGACACUCUGUACCUUUGACUUCUGUGACCAAUCUCACCAGUUUCUUAGUUCGUACUUGUCUGUUCUCCCCAGGCUCCUUUCUGAACUCUUAGCCCUUUCCCACAUACUGACGUUUGCCAAAUUAUACCUGUUUUCUUCUAGUUCUGGCAUCUCUAGGUAGUAGCACACAAAUGAUUCAAACCUUUUCCAACUUGAAUCUGGUUGCUGCUGAAUACCCUCAAACACUUCAAGGGGUUCACGACUGAUGUGGUCUGGGUGUGCUCUGAACUUGCUCUUUCUGUUUCCUUUCGGAUGACAGCUGCUCAGUCACAAAGCUUGGAAUGUGGGACCCCUUCUUGUGUUUCCUCUCACAACUUUGUAUCCACCAGACUUACUAUUUGGCCUUUUAAGUAUCCAUUGAAACCCAGGCCUGCUCUAGUCCUGUCAACUAGGCUAUGUAGACAGUUUCUUGGGAAACUUCUUACCUCUAGAGCUGCGUUAUACAAUACAAUAGAUACGUGGUUAUUUGAACUCAGAUGUGCAUUUUUGUUUUGUUUUUUGAAGACAGGAUCUCAUUGCAUAGUGCAGGUUGGGCUUGACUCACUGUGUAUCCUAGGAUGGCCUGGAAAUUGUGGCAGUCUUCCUGCCUCAGCCUCAUGUGCACUGCCACUCCCAGCUUGAAUUUAGGUGCAGUUUCAAAUUUAAUUUCCCAGUGUGAUAGAACUGUGGGGGACUGGCGGUGGCUGAAAAGAUAAGAAGUAUGAAAUAUAAAUGACCUUUAUUUUGAGAAUGCGGGGAGAGACACCCCUGAUCCCCCGCGGGGUGCGGCAUCUCCACCCUGGGGUCGGCGGCCUCUCCAUGGAACACAUGGAGUGAGGCACAUAAGUAGCCUCGGUUUGGGGUGGAAGCUAAGGGGGCAUUAGGGAUGCACAGGUAGCCCAUUGGUCUUUGUUUGGUGCCAGAGGUAAAUUCCUAAGGGUGGGGGAGAUAGGAGCUCCUUGGCUUUACCAGCUACAGUGUCCGGCCUGGGCCAAAACCCUUUCACAGUGCAUUAGCCACAUUUCAAAUUCUCAGUAGCCACGUACAGCUAGUAACUUCCACGGAACAGCAGAUGAUGGAACAUUUCUGCCGCUGCAAAAAAUAGCCUUUUGGACAGUGAUACUCUAGGUUUUCUCUUCUGCCCCUGCCACAGGUGCUCUCAGCGGUGAGCUUGCCCUAGCUAUAUGUUAUUGUGUGAAUCUGUGUUAAUUCCAAAUUACCUUCAUGAUGAAAUCCAAAUUCUUGUGCUUGCCAGAAAAGUUCUGUGCGCCUCUCCCACCUCAUGACUAGUCACUUCCUCUUGGGCUUCUUUACUGCAGGAAAAUUAAAAUGGUGUCCAAGACGUGUACACCAUGCCUCUGUAUGUUCCUCAUACUGUCCCUCUACAUGGAAGAUGCUUUUUUUCUCUUACUAAAUCCAAAAAUCACCAUCUCCGAAAAGACUACUCUUGCUUCCCAGACUGAGCCGAGUGCUCAAACCAUAGUGCCGUUUCCUUUUCUGAUUAUACCUAUUACAGUCAGUUCCAUUUCUGUAACUAUUUUUCUGUGCUGCAUUUUGAUCUCGAGAGCAAGGCUGCAUUGAAAAUUUUUUUAAGUACUCACGGGUCCUGGACACAUUAUCUGGCCAACAAAUUGAGCAAAUGUUGAAAGGAAUUGGUGCUUAGAUGAUUAUGUAUGUGAGUUAGAUGAAAUUGCAAGGUAUAUGCACUGUGGGGUACUGCGCCUAGUCCUGGGGAGUAACUAUAGGCAAAAAUCAUUGUCUUAAGGGACACUGAGAAAUUGGUGUGAGGAAAGACAAGCAGAACAGCACAAGCUAUUCUUACGGAGUAGUGUAGUUCAAGAAGGACAUAAAAUAAGUUAUAAUAAAGUAGGAAAGAAAAUUAAAUAGGAAUAAAGUCAGAGGGAAAUUUAUUUGUGCAGGCCAUAUUUUGGAGUUUCCAGUGCUGUUAAGUAUGACUCCAGUGGGGAGAGCAAUGACUUCAUCAGAAUCAUCUUGAGUUAGAGGCUAGCCUGAACUAUACAGAGAAACCUUGUCUCAGAAAGCCCCCAAAACAUAAAUAAAUACGAAAUUUACGUUGGGGACCACAUUCACAAUGGUUAAUUUUGCAUAACGUGAAGGUUUGGAAUUAUUGGUAUGACCCACUUGAUUAACUCUUUAGGCUGGCCAUCAUCUCACACCCACUAAACUAAAACCACUAAGUCUAAAAAACACUCUGGAGCAAGAUCCUUCUUAGCAUAAAAUCCUCUCCACCCUCUUGAGUCAUCACAAGAUUAUACUUGCCAGUUGAGUCAUAGAUCUGUAAGUCUGUGUAAGUCUAUCUGUAAGCCAGCUUCAAAUCUUUCACUAGCCCCGCCCAUCAUUGUAUACACCCAAUGAACAGUGGCUGUCCUGGAGUGUCACUGUCGUGAGCAGUGUGGAGACGGCCAGUCGCUCAUCCUGUAUUACUAAAUUUGCUCUCUUGUUUUGUCCUCUUGCCAUACCCUUAACACAGGCAAUCGGGGCUCCUGGCUGGGUCCCCGAUACAUUUAGGGUAGGCUGGAAGAUUGGGCUGUGAGUGAAAUUUUCACGCAAGGAGCAAGAACAGGAAGUGGAACUAGUGAAAGAGCUUGAAACCAGGCUGGGAAACAGCAGCGUGGUACAGAGAAGCCAAGACCAGGGGAUGGUGCCAGUGCGUGCUGUGUGUUUAUCAAAUAGAUGAAUGACUAAAUCAGUUAAGCUUUUUUGUGUCAUGGACUUUUUUUUAGCGAUUUUGGCUUUAGAUAUUACAUAUUUUUUAUGAAUGUAUCCAUGAGAUCAUAAGGUAAAAUAUAAUUAUCAAAUUAGAGAAGUAUGUGAUCUAAUAGUAUGUAUUUCUUUACCAGUGUAUAAAAUAACACGAUUUAUUGGUGGGCUUAACACCUCCCAUUAUAAAGUGGGGCUGUGUUAAGAUGUGUAUAGUAACUAUAAUGUGAUAAAAUUAUUGAUAGUGAUUUUUUAAAGUUCACUGCUAGUACUACAAAGAUUUUUCCUAUGUUUACUCAUAAAAUUAAGGUUCUCUGAAUUCUGUGGCAAGUUAGAAACCCCUGUUCUGUUUAAGGAAGUGAAACUGUAGGUAGACGUGAGGGAAAAAAGACAGGAAAAUGUACCGUGUUGGCACUACAGUUUGAAGAACUAGCAAAGUUCUUGCUGAAGCUGAACCCUCAUUGGGAGAUACCGGGGCUGGGCCAUGAAGGCUGUGCCUUCGGGAAUGGAUUACACCCUGGAUGAGUGGAUUGACAGUACCUCAGGAUUGGCAUUGCUGUGGAAGCAAGCUCUGUAGCCACUUGGUGGGUCUCGAUGACUAUUGUCACCAUGAAGCUUCCCAUGUGUGUGCCCUCGCAGGAAGGCCCUCCCCAGAUGCUGAGCAGGCGCCAGUGCUGUGCUCUUGGACUUCCCAUCCUGUAGAAUUGUCAACAAAAUGAACCUCUUCUGUAUAUAUGAGCCUGACUGGAGUGUUUAGUUACAGCAACAGAUGACAGGCAAAGAUAGUUGAUAAUUGGGGUCAUUACUGAUGUUCAAGGACAGUUUCUGCAGUUAAGAUCAGUGUGGGUAACAUAGUCCCCAUCUCAAAAUGAAAACAAACAGGAACACAAAAAUUCCCUCUGCCAAUGCUGUGGAAAAUCAUACAGUUGGAGACAGACCUGUUGGAGCAGGUGAAGCUGGAGAUUGAUCGCAUGUGGAGCUAAAGCAAGGCCAGCCUUGAAAACAGAGACAGCCCCAAGCAAGCCACAUAAACAAGCAUUCCAGCUCUAAGACGGGGCCCCGGACAGCCCGCAAACAAGUGCUAGGCAGUGGGGUUGGAAUGGACGCUCUUCUUGGGAGGGUGUAAGUAAUGGUGCUGCAGUGGUGGAGCAGCUCCUUCUCUUCCAUCAGGAGCCUAAAGGGCUCCACCUGACCCCAGCUUUGGUCUCUUUAUUUUCUCCUCCUCUCGCAGUCCUUCACCCCAAGAACCUCAAGAAGCAGGGGUCACGGCAAGACCAAUUCUAAGAAAGAUGCUAUAAAACAGGAAAUACAGUGUUAAAUGAGGUAGAGUCAGUAGAUCUUAGUGAAAAAUUGGAAAGAUUUGAGGAAGGUGGAGCCAUGAGAGGUGGAAGCUCUGAGCUCACCAUCGUAGCUUGGACAAUUACUGAAGUCUUAACUACAGGAGUUGGGAGAUUUUGGGAAGGGAUGGUGAUGAAUUAGUUUUGUAAAUCUUGAACUAGAGAUAUAUAGCAAUUCAUAGACUUAUUUGCCUAUGAUCUGUUUAAUUAGAAUUCAUCAUUGCAUUAUUAACAGGGUUUUAUGAGACAUAAAGCAACACCACUUUUUAAACCAGAGGCACAGUUUAAAAAUCUUUUCAUUUGAAACUUUCUUAGACAUUUUGAGAUCAUUCAGAGACAUGAACACGAAUUGGGUUAAAUCAAGAUGAAUAAUUGCUUUUAAUUGUUUGGAUUGAGGUGAUGGGGUAUACUAGAAAGGCCAUUUAAUAUAGCUAUUACACAUAUGCUCGAGUUGUAGAUCCUUAGCAGAAUAUAAAUGUUUUGAUGUUUUGGUUUGUUUUUGUUAGACAGGCUGACCUUGAACUCACUAUGUAGCCCAUGCUAGCCUUAAAUUUACCACAGUCCUCAUGCCUCAGACUCCCGAAUGCUAGGAUUACAGGCAUGCGGCACCACGCCCAGUCAGAAUAUAAACCUUGGGGGCUGGGGAUUUAGCUCAGCGGCAUAAGCGCCUGCCUUGUAAGCAGGCAGUCGUAAGUUCGAUCCCCAGUACUGAUAAAAAAGAAAAAGACAAAAAAAAAAAAAAAGAAUAUAAACCUUUAAAUUAAUAAAUCAACAUUGAAGCCUAUGAUAAAUUAAUCUCAAUAUGUGGUAGACAUGUUACAGAUCACCAAGUAGCUGACCUACAUCACCUGAGCAGUUGGUUGGGAAAUGUGACCUGAGCAGUGAUACGUACAUCUAACCUGUUGUGUGUACCUCAGAUGAUCUCCUGGGAUGCUUAGGUUGAAGAUAGCUGUAUUGAGGUGGUUGCUUCACUAAUGGUGUUUCUCUCUUCUCCAGAAAUAGCACUAAUCCCUGGAGGUGACUGAUGCUGAGACGUUUAAAGAAUUCAGUAGUGUUCACCUCAGUUAAAAUUGUCUCUCUCAACAAGGUGUAAUUUUAAAGAUAGCCUGGAGGCAUUUGCCCCCAACCGCACAUGUGCAAGUAUAUGUGUAUGUGUGUGCAAGUGUGUGUGCUUUGAUGGUACUGGGGUACUGGGGUUUGGACCAGUUUGUCACACAUCUUCAGCCCUUUUUUAUUUUCUAAUUGGAGACAGUGUCUUGUUAAAUAGCUCAAGGUGGGCUCAAGCUUGUGAUCCUUCUUCCUCUACCUCCUGGAGUGCUGGGAUUGUAGGCAUGCACCACCAUCCUGCUCAAUAUUUGUGUUUUAUUAUGUCUAUGUUGAAACAAACUUUGAAAUAAAAAAUUUCUAUCAUCUGACUUACAUGAUUUUAUUUCUUAAGGAAUACUGCUACCUGUGGAGACUGCCGUUGAGGUGGUCUGUUUUAUAACACCCGACAGGAGGUGGCUGAUGCAGCUGGGUAGAUGGAAAGUGUGGGACUCAGCAGGACCAGAGCUCAGGGGUGACUGUGAUGACCCCAGAGGUGUCAGUAACUGAGGCAGGCAGAAGCGAAUGAGGCCACCCGUGGCAAUUAUGUUGUGUAAGAAGGGUAAGAGUUGGGGACAGAACUCUAGGGACGCCAAUACCUUAAGGUAGCUGAAGGGAAAGAAUCCACAGAGACUUAAGAGGGCACAUCAGAGGAGUGGAACUAGGAGAAAGUUCCAUCAAAGAUGCUCCCCAAAUAGACUAAUUUAGGAGGCGGUACAGCCAGUGGUGUCAAGUGUUUAGGAGAUUGCGAAGAAUCCAGCUGAUUCAGAAACACAAAAUGCUGGUGAAUACUUUCAUUGAUGAGGAUGAAGGACUAACAAGUAUGAAAGUGGGACCCAAUUACCCACAGCUCUCAAGAAAUCUGGCUCUGACUGCAGAGGGCUAAAGGUGGGGAAGGGAAGAUGGGGCUGGAAGGGUUGGGAGAGCCGGGCCUUGGAAAGCCUUGGCCGCAGGCUGGGAUACAGCUCGGAAGCGAGCACAGGCUCUGGGUUCAGUCUCUACUACUACGAGGGAAGGAAGAAAGAGAGUAAAGAGGGAAGGAGGGAGGGAGGGAAAGAAGCAAACUGUAAGUUGCUGGCUAAGCUGGUGUCUUCAAAUCUGUGCAUAUGUUCUUAGGGCUCCAGUAUAGCUCUGUGAUAAGAGGCUUGCCUAGCAUGCAUUACGCCCUCAGUUUACUCCCUAGCAUCACAAACAAUCCAAUGAAAAAGAAAGCCCCCCUAGAUUUAGAGGUGCUGUGCUAUUACUGUCAGAGGCAUUUUUUAAAUUAUUUUUUUAAAUGGUUACACAGGUCAGUGUGUUUCAGCUUGGCAGAUUCAAACAUGCACACUGUAUAUUUUGAUCAUCUCACUCCCUAGCACUCCUUCAUCUUACUGUCUUUUCUAGUCUCACAUUUUUGAGGUGCUUCAAUAUUUCUCUCAUUCCCAUCCCCCAAGCAUUUCUAUUUAAUGGCAAAAUGGACAGUGGGAACUGACUGCCCUGCUCUUGCCCACUGCUACUAUUUCCUCAAACUGAUGGAGUCCUUUGGAGACGCCUUUGGAGGGAUUGUUGGGAAGUCCUGGCAGGAAGAAGAGCCACAUAGAGGGCAGCAAAGUUAUAACGCUUGGAACUCGUUACAAGUCAUACUGGGAUUACAGAGGGCGAUGCAAGGAGUCAGCCCCCCGGCCGCAGUCUUGGUGACAUGACAGUGCAUCUCCUCAUCUUCGCCUUGUCCCUCCCUGCUCUCUGGAGAACUGAGCCCUCUGCUCGUCUCCCUGUUCUGUUCUGGAGUCGUCCCACUCGGCCCACCUCUGCUCCUCCCCAGCUCUUCAGACAACCUGUCACCGGAACACACCAACCAUUAAACCACUGCAGUUGCCAUGAAUAAAAGGGGCAGACUCUUGAACAGUGGGUUUAUUUUGGGGUUUCUAUCCCAAUUGUGACCACACCGGGAAGAGCUUUCAGCAAAGCAUCCGGCCCACCGCCUGUCUUUAUACGACUUAAGUGCUAAGAAUGGCUUUACAUUUUUAAAUGUUUGGGAGAAAAAACAAAAAAAGCAAA